rnacentral:lncRNA from 1 species
AUUGCUCGGGGAGGCAGCUCUCACUGGGUGUUUUACAUCUCUGUAUUAUCUCUAGCAUAAACAGUUUUCUCCCCGGAUGAGAGCCAUGGGAAACAGGCUGCAUUGAUGAGAUUGGGGGAAGGGACCCUGCCAGUAGCAUUCUGGGUUUGAGCACGAUGGGAAAGAAACAGCAAAUAUGGGGAUGAGGAUGGCACAGAAGUGCUGGGAAGAACCCAUGAGUCGGAAGGGGUGGGUGUACUGUGUGCACCAUGGCUGCAGGGGAAAGGAAGGCCUGCGAGGCACUCUGCAGAUGCAGUCAGCGGUCUGUCGUUCCUUCUGAGGCCCACCAACUUUGAAUUCCUCUAAAGGAAGAUUACCCUCCUUCCCAUGUGCCAUUGUUCCGUAAUGGAACUUUUCAAAGAUAGAGAUAUCCCACCUCCAAGUCUGAGAUUUGAGGACACAUUAGGCGAGUGAACCGAUGCCACUCUGAUGUUUGAGGACCCUGUGGUGGCGCCCCUAACUUCCUGCCAGCUCCUCAGCCUCCCCUUUCCUCCUGCCUGCUCCGUUCCCAGUGGAAAACACUUCAAAUAAAAACACCCAUGACUCUUAAGAACAGCCGCCUGGGAACUAUUUUACAAAAGCUCAAAAAUAAAGGGCAGGUUACCGCUUGUACAGAAUGUCCGCAGUGUCUCAGUGCUGUCCCCUGAGAACACCUAGGUCAGGCGUCCCUAAGGCUGGUGCUUGUUUAUUGCUCUGACUCACAGUCUGUGUAGUUUUGAGUCUUGCUCUGACUUGGCUCACCCACCUCGCCCGUGCUGCAGCAGACAACAGUGAGAGGCCGCUCUCCAGUCUCCCCUCAGCACUUGUCCAGCCGAUCUGCUGCUUACCAUUUGCAGCUUCGUCCUGCAGGCUCCUCUUUGGUAUAGCGCUGCUCUCACAUCUAAACUUUGCACCAUGGUAGAAAGCAGGUCCCGAGGACAGCCUGGACACUAGAGAGUUUCCAUCUGGCUUGUCAGCCUGCUGCUUCUCUCUCGCCGUAUUGUCUUCAUUUUUCUGUUUUCUUAGAUUAACUGGCUUCUGAGGCCUUAUGCACCUCUGAAAUUUCAGCAUGUGCGUGUGCAAUGUGCGUGCAUGUGUAUGUGUGUAUAUGUGCUUGUGGUGGGUGUGGAGGCCUGAGGACAGCCUCAGGCGUCCAUUCCUCAGUCGGGCCCCGCCUUGGUUUUGAGACAUGGUCUCUCAUUCACCUAGGCUGCUUGGCCAGUGAGUCUACUGUGUCCACCUCCCCAGCAUUGACUAAAAGUAGAAACCACCUUCCAAGGAGUUCAAACUCAGGUCCUCCUACUUGCAAAGCAAGUGGUUUAUUGACUGAGCUCCUACUCCAGCUCCAAUUUCAUUUAAAAGCUCAUUGCUCAGAUGCGAGCUCUGAGCCCUAAAAUUGUGUGGUUCUGAAAUAGGAGUCCACUUUGAGCUGUUUGCUUCCUCUGAUAAACCCAACUUGGGACACUGACCACUGUUCUGUCCCCAGGGGAUCUGUGCUAGGCCCAAACCUGCUGGGUAGCUGGGGUUGCAGAUCACAGCUUUAAAUCCAACAUGAUGACUUCUUACCAGCUAGGUAAAGAGGUUGUUAAUCAGGCUACUACAGUGCCCCCGAUAGAGGAGGGAGGCUCACCAGAAGGUGUCAGCCUGGCCAGGGUCCCACCAAGCUUUGGUGGAGCUGAUUUACAUGUGAGAACCAUUCCUCUCCCUUCAGAGAGCUUACGUGUGAAGGACUGUGGGUCAGGACAGCAACUUUUAGCUCUUGAACUGACCCGAUUACCUUGUGGAGAUCUGGGCUGUAAACUCUGCGGCUUCCUAGACUUGACCAAUCUGGGUUGGUGUGCACUGCUGCCAGACUCAGUUUCUCCAGGUGCACCAUCCCGUGUGGGCUGGGCUAUCCAGACUUUCGGACAGGCUAAGAGAUGACCAUCUAGCCAUCCAUCUCUCAUGGUGCUCACUCGUCUCUCCCCCAGUCAAUAUGUCUCUCUCCGAUGGGAAAGUUAAUAAAUUUUCCUCUAGAUUAAAAGUAUUGAUUAUUUCAUUUGUAAACAAUAAAUAAAAAGGAGGAACUUUUCACUGCACAGGGGCCAGCGCCUGGUGUAUUUUGCUGGUGAAAUUUUGCUCACUGUUGGGGGGUGGGCUUCUCAUAUGCAUUCUGUCCGGCCAGGAGCAUUGAUUUCCUAUUAGUCUCCCAGCACCACCCAGUAACACAUCAUUUCAGUACCCGCUAUUAAUGGUCUUUUGAUAAAUAAUCACUUGUAAGUCAAUAAAUUUUUAUUAAACACUGU